rnacentral:rRNA from 1 species
UGGGGAAUAUUGCACAAUGGGCGCAAGCCUGAUGCAGCCAUGCCGCGUGUAUGAAGAAGGCCUUCGGGUUGUAAAGUACUUUCAGUCGGGAGGAAGGUGGUAAGGUUAAAAACCUUGGCAAUUGACGUUACCGACAGAAGAAGCACCGGCUAACUCCGUGCCAGCAGCCGCGGUAAUACGGAGGGUGCAAGCGUUAAUCGGAAUUACUGGGCGUAAAGCGCACGCAGGCGGUUGAUUGAGUCAGAUGUGAAAUCCCCGGGCUUAACCCGGGAAUUGCAUCUGAUACUGGUCAGCUAGAGUCUUGUAGAGGGGGGUAGAAUUCCAUGUGUAGCGGUGAAAUGCGUAGAGAUGUGGAGGACUACCGGUGGCGAAGGCGGCCCCCUGGACAAAGACUGACGCUCAGGUGCGAAAGCGUGGGGAGCAAACAGG